UACCAGCACCCCGAGUGGUCGGGACGUUUUAUUGGGCCUAAAGCAUCCGUAGCCGGUUCUACAAGUCUUCCGUUAAAUCCACCUGCUUAACAGAUGGGCUGCGGAAGAUACUAUAGAGCUAGGAGGCGGGAGAGGCAAGCGGUACUCGAUGGGUAGGGGUAAAAUCCGUUGAUCCAUUGAAGACCACCAGUGGCGAAGGCGGCUCACUGGACUGGUAUUGACGCUGAGGUGCGAAAGCGUGGGGAGCAAACAGG
rnacentral:rRNA from 1 species